CCAAGCACCAGCCCUUCCUCCCGUCUCCCUCCUUCCCACCCAGCCUGGGAAAGGCAGUGGGCGGGGAACUCCGGCUUGACAGGCAGGCCGCGCCUCUCGAAGGCGCCGAGCUCGGGGCUCCCGGCAGCCCCCCAGACGGAGGGCGGGCGGCUGGCUUUGCGCUUGCUCAGCCGCCGCCCAAGUCCGGGGGGAAGCCGGCAGGUCUCUCUCUGCAAAGCGAGGCAGGGAAGGAGGCAGCGCCGGCUCCUCCAUCUUCUUGUGGCGCAGGGAAGCGGCCAAACAGGCAGCAGCAGCGGUGGCGGCACGAGCUCCUGGGAGGAAGGAUGCCCGCCAAGUGAGCGCCCCGCCCCGCCUUCCAUCCCAGAAAGAGGCCGGUGCCGUGCAGGGCGGCCCAGAUGCAAAGCAACCAGGGCGACGGCAGCGCCUCAGCGGAGGAGCAUCCCCAGCCUGCUCCUCCCGCCGCCUCGACCCCGUCUCCAAUGGCGCUGGCUGGGUCCGAAGAGGGCAGCGGCCGAGCCCCGGGCCCCGAAGGCGCCCUCAGCCUGAACCCUGGGCAGCAGCAGCUGCAGGAGGAGAUGGAGAAGCUGCAGGAGGAGAACGAGGCCCUCAAGAAUGAGAUAGAUGAGCUGAGGACUGAAAUGGAUGAGAUGAGGGACAGCUUCUUUGAAGAGGAUGCCUGCCAGCUGCAAGAAAUGCGCCACGAAUUGGAGAGGGCCAACAAAAACUGCAGGAUCCUUCAAUACCGCCUUCGAAAGGCAGAGCGCAAGAGGCUCCGCUAUGCACAGACCGGGGAGAUUGACGGAGAACUUCUGCGAAGCUUGGAGCAAGACCUGAAGGUUGCAAAAGACGUUUCAGUGAGACUUCACCAUGAGUUGGAAAACGUGGAAGAAAAACGUACCACCACAGAAGAUGAAAAUGAAAAGUUAAGGCAGCAGCUGAUAGAAGUAGAGAUUGCUAAACAGGCUCUGCAGAACGAACUUGACAGGAUGAAAGAGCAAUCCAUGAAAAGAAGAGGGAGCAAAGACUUGCAAAAAUCAGAAAAAAAAUCACAGCAGACACCCACUGAGGAGGACAAUGAAGAUCUGAAAUGCCAGUUGCAGUUCAUCAAAGAAGAAGCUACCCUGAUGAGGAAAAAGUUGGCCAAAAUAGACAAGGAAAAGGACAGAUUUGAACAUGAACUACAAAAAUAUCGGUCAUUUUAUGGUGAUCUAGACAGUCCCUUACCAAAAGGGGAGGCUGGAGGCCCACCUACCACAAGAGAAUCAGAACUCAAGCUUCGUCUGAGGUUAGUAGAGGAGGAAGCCAAUAUUCUGGGAAGGAAAAUAGUGGAGCUGGAAGUAGAAAACAGAGGGCUGAAAGCAGAGCUUGAUGACUUGAGAGGAGAUGAUUUCUCAGGGGCAGCCAACCCGCUCAUGGGGGAGCAGAAUGAAUCACUCUCUGAGUUACGGCAGCACCUGCAGCUAGUUGAAGAUGAAACGGAGCUGCUGAGAAGAAACUUGGCUGAUGUAGAAGAACAAAACAAGCGCAUCACAGCAGAGCUGAACAAAUACAAAUACAAGACUGGGGCUCACGACAGUUCAAGGCAUCACGACAGCGCCAAGACAGAAGCGCUCCAGGAAGAGCUCAAAGCUGCCCGCAUGCAGAUCAAUGAACUGAGUGGUAAGGUCAUGCAACUUCAGUAUGAGAACCGAGUCUUGAUGUCCAACAUGCAGCGCUAUGACCUGGCCUCUCAUCUAGGGAUCCGGGGCAGCCCCAGGGACAGUGAUGCUGAAAGCGAUGCGGGGAAGAAAGAAAGUGAUGAUGAUUCUCGUCCUCCACACCGCAAGAGGGAAGGUCCCAUCGGUGGGGAGAGUGACUCAGAGGAGGUCCGCAACAUCCGUUGCUUGACCCCCACUAGAUCCUUCUACCCAGCACCAGCAGGGUGGCAGAAAAGCUUCACAGACCGGCAGCAAAUGAAGGACAUCCGCUGUGAAGCGGAACGCCUGGGCAAAACGAUUGACCGCCUGAUUUCGGACACAAGCACCAUAAUAACAGAGGCAAGAAUUUAUGUGGCGAAUGGGGACCUGUUUGGACUUAUGGAUGAUGAAGAUGAUGGCAGUAGGAUACGGGAGCACGAACUUCUUUACCGAAUAAAUGCCCAGAUGAAGGCAUUUAGAAAAGAGCUCCAGGUCUUUAUUGACACACUAGAAGUUCCAAAGUCUUCAGAUGAUCGAAGUACAGAUGAACCUUUGUCAAUAAGAAGUGCAAGAGCUGUAGUUUCUGUAGUAAUUGCUGCUGUAAAAACACUGAAGACUACUCACUGGAAAAAAGGGAUGCCAGCCCUCACAAGUCAAAUAAUAUAGAACACAAAAGAAGCAAAAAAACCCACAACUGAACCAGAAUUGUGCUCAACCAAAAAGCUAGGAUAUAUUUGUAACUGGAGCCUUUUUCCCUCCUACCGCAUUCACUGCUAUGUUACAUCUGGACUAAAAUACUGCUGAUUCUUCCUCUUUGAAAGAAAGUAUGUGUAACGAACACACAAGCAGCUUCGAUCGCAUUUGAAACUGGAGAAGGAAAUAAUGGGAAGGAUUUGACUGGCACCAGCAGGUGUUUGAAGGAGAUUGAUGCUCUUGCUGAGGUUGAUUAAAUAGGCAAAAAGGAAGGGGGGGAGAGCAGCAAGGAAGGAAAUACAUCCCUUCAAAAGGCAUUUCUCCCUCCCUGUUUGUUCAACAAGCUCUCUCUGCACAGGUUUCUGGAGCUUUAGCAAAAGACACAAGGCACAAAAGCAGUGGUAAGUUCCAAGAACGUCCAGAUGGAAAUGAAUUUAUUAAUCCAUUUUCUGCAAAGCAGUGUCCUGAUUCAGUGCCACUAGUGAAGAAUGGAAAUGUGUCCGUGGUUCUGCAGUGGUCAUCUACAAAAGGAAUCCAUCCUUUGAAUGAAAGCUGUCAGCAGGAUUUUGUCACAGCUUGUAGUCUUGCGAUGCUGGCAAAUUUGGGAAGUGUUCUAAAAAUGGCUCUUCCCCUCGCUCUGUCCAGAAGAGUGGUUCUGAUGUUUGGGAAGACCACGAACCCAGAUUACAUGACAAACCAAGAUUUGUGGGUUGUUGCUCCCAAUGCAGCACGGCCAAGAGCAUGGGAGAAUGGAGACUUUUGAGCAUAGAACUCUUUUGCAUAGAACCAUCAGUUAAUAUGUGCACCCAUAGCCAAUGUGUGAUAUGGAACUGGAAAGAUGUAAAUAAAAUACUGGAAGCAAAAAUGGAUGAUUAGUUUUGUAAAGACCUAAAAUGGGCUGAAAUAGAACCAAAAUGCUUAUUGCACCACCUGGAGAACCAAAUGCCCACCACGUGUAGCGGGACUGUAUGACUAGCAGAGCAGCAAAUGAAGAGUCUUCAAGGAAGAAGUACCUGUGCAAACCCUGCAAAGCUUUCAAAGCAACAGAGCAACAAAAGUAACUAAAUUGAUUUCUGGGUGGCUGAGCUUGACUGGUUACCCACGAUCAGCUGACUCAAGAUUCCGCUAUGCUGUGCUGGAAAAAGCUUCAAAAGAACUAUGGGAGGGAAAUUGACUUUAUCCUGCAAUUCAAAGUUCCAUGAGGAGCAGUGAGUACAGUCCGGUUCUGAAUUUGCCAGAAUGGUAGGAAUGAGAAACUAGGACAGGCAGGUUGAGGAAAGCAGGACCAGCAGAAGAACUCAACCAGGUACAUUGGACUUUACUCCAAGUAUAGCAAAGAGAAGCAGAAUUUUGCAUGAGGUAUCUUUGCCAGCUAAACAGUCAUAUGGGAAAAGCUUCUCUCAGCCAACUCGACAAGCGACUAGAUGGGACCUGCAGGUCAGCAUCACAUGCAGUGUGAAGGAUAGCCUGGAAUUGACACACUCUGGGUUUUUUAUUGAGAGAUCCCAGUGGAUGCAAACUCAAGAGUUGAUUCAGUGGUGUGAAAUCUCCAUACCUCACCUGGACUCUCAUUUUCAUGUUCCUAACUGUGGCAAGUUCUAUUGCAAUCAUAUGUUGGUCAAUGAUGACCCCACCUUUUUGACUUUGCUGGAGAAACAUAUUUGAUUCGUAGAUCAUCCUUACAGUCUUCAGUGUUUUUAACAAUAAGAUAAGAAUGCCCUUCCCCACACGUGUAUAUAUCCUUUCGUAGCUCACAGCCGUUUUGGUUUUCAGUUACACGUACUGAUAUUCAUUGCCUCCAUCAUUGUGUUUUCUAAUUUAAAUAAUGUACAGCUCUGUAUAUUCUGUCUUUUUCUGCAAACAGUGGGAAGAAAUGCUUUAUGCAUGAUCAUGUGUUUGUAAGUGGCAUGUGUUGGAAUAGGAAGUAUACCAGUAAGUAUUUAGAAGAGACAAACUCAGUAGUAGUACUGACACUGAAAUUAUAGGCCUACACACACACACACACACACACACACACACACACACACACACACACACGCACACGCACACACACACACACACACACCCCUUUGUGGUUUAUUUUGAAGGUUAGAAAAUACAUAGCUCUGGUGAUAAUUAUAUUUUGUAUAUAUUUUACAGGUUUCACAGGUCUAAUCUAGUAUUUGAUAUACAGAAACUGACAAUAGGCUUUUUGUUUUUGUUUCUGUAAAUGGAUAGCAGUGACAAGGCAUUUGCACAAUAUUUACCAGAGGCAGAAUAGCUCAUUGGAUUGAUUCCUCAGUCAUGGUUGAUGCUCCUUUUUUUCUUGCUUCACUUCUCUAAACAUUGCAGUGCUAGGUCAAAAUCAGCUGGGCUUAUUUUUCUGAAUUAAAUGAACUGCUACUCAUAACUGAUUUAGCCUACAUACCUAAAAAUGGUCAACUUUCAUAAAGCAUUUACACCUGCCACUCACUAGUUACAGGUAGGUAGCCGUGUUGGUCUGACGUAGUCGAAACAAAAUAAAAAAAAUUCCUUCCAGCAGCACCUUAGAGACCAGCUAAUUCGUUGUUGCAUUGCUCGGAGACUAAAUUCCAGUGCAUUUAUAUUUGCAGUGUGCAGUGUGUGUUGCACAGAGGGGAAAGGACAAGACGGAUGGCUGCACAGUAUCUUUGUGGAGAACUCACCCUUACAAGAAAUUCAGGGCUUGUGCUACAACUUGCUCCAAGUUUUGGGAUGCCCAUUUCCCUGUCAGCCGCAGAACGUUAUAAGGAGCUGAGGUGGGAAAACACUCAACUGUUACAGAGUCCAGACAGGAAGUUAGAUUAACUCCGUAAUGUGGCAGGGGAAGGACAAAUUUUCCCUUUAAAAUUCUGUUUAUGAAGAUACAGCCAAGCCAUUUAGGCAAUUGCUGUCAGGGUUUGCUGAACGUCCUGGCUGGGUGGAUUUUGUACAGCUGCUCCCCCUCCCCAUUACAUUGGUCCAGACUGCAGUCAGGUCUGGCAAGGCAACGUUUGUUUGGAACAAAAGUAGAAGCUGUUGAAGUACAGUGGUCUACUUCUCUUCUGCUUUUCUUAAUCUCCAGCUGGGCUUCAGAUGUCCAAGGCAAUUGCACACAUUCUGCUCCCAUGGGUGAUACAAGCAGCUCUCCACUGUGAGGUUUGCUUGCAUUUUGGCAUAAAGUACAUGCUGAAUCCAGAUAACUUUGCUGGCUUGCCAGAAUAUUUAGAGUGAUGGCAUUAGAAGUAUCUAUUUGUCAUAACCCGUCUCUGUGUUUUUGGCUAUUAGUGUGCUGUGUAUAUGGCCUGGCUUCCCAGCAGUCUUAAGGUAUCUCAGCAGGGUCUAUAUUUCAUUAUUUAAGUAUCAUAAAAAUGCAAAACUACAUAGGAGGAGCAAACAGCGAUCCACUCAGCUUAUUAGGAACAAAGAGGCAGUUCUGCUACAUCAGCCUGGUCUCUUACAUUUCCCUUCCCAACUCCAACUCAGUACAGGUAGCAUGUUCACAGACAUUUCAGGCAAGCUUUCAGCAUCCACCAAUAGCUCAGUCGGUUAGAGCAUGGUGCUAACACCAAGGUUGCAGGUUUGAUCCUCGUAUGGGUCAGCUGCAUAUUUUUGCAUUGUCGGGGGUUGGACUAGAUGAUCCUCAGGGUACCUUCCAAUUCUAUGUUUCUACGAUACCAUUUUGCUUAACGGGCAUAUUCUUAAGGUUGUAAAGAGAGGGACUUCUGUUGUCUUGUAAGGUGACUGUAGUACACUUGGGGAAAUUAUUGUGCUAAUCCAGAUAGUGAUUCUAUUACCGUCAUUGUGUAGUAAAAGAACCAGAGGAUAGACUAGUUUAUAUAUUGCACUAAAGUUUUGUUUUGUUUUUAAAUCAAAAUUCUGUGCUACGUAAUUCAUGCCAACAAAAGCGUUUUCUCCCUCCCCCCCCCCAAAAAAAUCUUUCUAAUCUACAUAACCAGAUAUUUGAAUUCUAUAAAUACCGUAGGUAGGUAGGUGGUCGGUUGUUUGAUUUUUGGAUAUAAACACUCAGCCUGAUAAAACAACUCCCAUUGCAAAUAGUACCCAGUGGCUGCAAGGGUGCAAUGUGGUAUCUAUCUACAUCUCUUUUAAAUGGAUAAUGGUGUGAAACGUGUUUAGCAUUGUAUAAAGAAAGUUUGUGACUAAACUUUGUGUAGCGUGUGGGUUCUGGUGUGCUGUGCUCUCCUCCUGGAACUUCCAAGGAAACAAAACAGACUUAUUAAGACCCCCCCCCCCAAAAAAAAUUGAGAAACUGUACCAACACUGGUGAUGGGUUUACCAUAUUGGCAUAGCUUAUUUCCUCCAGCCUCUUGUGUUGGUUUUCUGGCUUCCACUGAUCUCUGGACUAGAUCUGCUGGUAGUGGUAGCAGAGAAGGAUCAAAGGAAGAGCUAGGCAGGAGAGGAAGUGGUGGAGUCCAGAGAUGUUUACAGGGGGUCUGACAAGUUGCAGCUGAGCUAAAUCUUGCUGCUGCAGUUUCUGUAACCCUGUAGGUUUGUGUCAGUGGGAAACUAGCAAACAUUAGGUACUAAAUGUCCAUUUCCUGCUUGAUAAGACCUUGUUGAGCGCUUCCCUAUCUCUAGAAAAAAUUCUGAAGUAUACUAACAAACUGCAGUCCUAUGAUCCCUUACUUGGGAGUACGCUCUGGCAAGCAAAGCAGGAUUUACUUUCAAGUUAGGAUUGGUCUGACAUGUUGAAAUCCUGAGCACAGUUACUCGGGAAUUAAUCCUAUUAAUCACAUUUGGUCUGUUGGGAGUAAACAUGCCAGGGAUUUGGCUGCACCUGACCCCCCCCCCCAAAUAGACUUUCUAAAGUAUUAUUUUUGUUUUAGACCAUCAUGAUAGAAUUCCUUUUCCAUUCUGUGUCUUGGUAAAAAUCUCAAUUCAGAUAUAUGUUUUUUUAUUCAGCUUCACAAACAUAUAUUGAGGCAUUCCUUUGCUGCCCUGCUUUUGAGAUGUGUCUUUGUGUUUGGCAUUGCCAUUGGAAUAAACCAAACGUGUUUUAUGAACCUUGCAUGAGAAUGAAGUAAGACUGCCUAAACUGCAACAGAACCAGCUAUCUUCUUGGGCACAGAGGACUCCGUCAUCAAGUG